UCAAAGUGGUCUUCCUCUACCGAAUCAUUU
rnacentral:piRNA from 1 species